GGUGAUUUCAUGCCUCUUUGGGUUCUGGAAGUCGUCGAGGACCCACUUGAAUUAGAAAGUUCUAUUGGAGAAAAAAGAGAACCACGCCCCUGCUGGGUCAUCACUGAUUUGAUAUUUUAAUUAUAUCAGAAGAACCGGAGCAAAGAAAAAAAAGGAAAAAAAAAUUUUUUUUACCUCUUUCCACCUUUCCCUUGAAACCGAGAACACACCCCGACACCCCCGCCGUCGACCAGUCCACGCCACCACUCACCCAUGCCCCAAAAACCUAACCAAGUUUCUACCUCAGAACGCGGCUUGUCGAAAGGGAUACGUUCGUCUAUGCAGC